rnacentral:snRNA from 1 species
CACACACACAAAUUGGAGACAGAAGUGCAGAGAAGAUCAGCAUGGCCCCUGUAUAAAGAUGAGAUGAAAAUAUUUUUCAUGUUCCAUAUUUUU